AACGAACGCUGGCGGCAUGCCUAACACAUGCAAGUCGAACGAGACCUUCGGGUCUAGUGGCGCACGGGUGCGUAACGCGUGGGAACCUGCCCUUAGGUUCGGAAUAACUCCCCGAAAGGGGUGCUAAUACCGGAUAAUGUCUUCGGACCAAAGAUUUAUCGCCUUUGGAUGGGCCCGCGUUGGAUUAGCUAGUUGGUAGGGUAAAAGCCUACCAAGGCGACGAUCCAUAGCUGGUCUGAGAGGAUGAUCAGCCACACUGGGACUGAGACACGGCCCAGACUCCUACGGGAGGCAGCAGUGGGGAAUAUUGCACAAUGGGCGAAAGCCUGAUCCAGCAAUGCCGCGUGAGUGAUGAAGGCCUUAGGAUUGUAAAGCUCUUUUACCCGGGAUGAUAAUGACAGUACCGGGAGAAUAAGCCCCGGCUAACUCCGUG
rnacentral:rRNA from 1 species